CUCGUAGGCGGUUUGUCGCGUCUGCCGUGAAAGUCCGGGGCUCAACUCCGGAUCUGCGGUGGGUACGGGCAGGCUAGAGUGAUGUAGGGGAGACUGGAAUUCCUGGUGUAGCGGUGAAAUGCGCAGAUAUCAGGAGGAACACCGAUGGCGAAGGCAGGUCUCUGGGCAUUAACUGACGCUGAGGAGCGAAAGCAUGGGGAGCGAACA
rnacentral:rRNA from 1 species